UCACAUACGACCAUAACCAACUGAAAGCUCGGGAUCCCGUCCGCUCUCCCCUAGAUAAGCAGUUGAGUGCCGAACUAGUACUCAGGUG
rnacentral:rRNA from 1 species